rnacentral:misc_RNA from 1 species
UCGCGAUCUCUUCCGCUCUCUCUCCCUUUUGAAGCAUGUUAUGACACUUUAAUCCAAUCACGUUGGGAUCAUAUUUCGAUUUGAGAGUCUUUUAAUUCCGCUAGUGUCCCGUAAACUUCGCUAAAUGCUUCAGUUCAGCGGAUCUCGCUUGUAUAAAGCAGGAAUCUCCCUCGCGAAGGUCAGUCUUAGCUUAGCCAGUGUAGACGGAAGACGUGUUGCUUCGCUGCCGAUCUGUUUCACUCGUGCAACCUCGCUUCUAGCCAAUAUGAGCGAACCUAAGAAGAUCUGCAUUGUCGGCUCUGGAAACUGGGGCUCCGCCAUCGCCAAGAUCAUCGGCUCCAACGUCACCAAAUUCGACCAGUUCGACAAUGAGGUCCGCAUGUUCGUCUACGAGGAGAUGGUCGACGGCAAGAAGCUGACCGAGAUCAUCAAUACCACACACGUCAACGUCAAGUACCUCCCCGGCAAGAAGCUGCCCGAGAAUGUGAUAGCCGUGCCAGAUGUCCUAGAAGCAGCCAAGGAUGCAGAUGUCCUCGUGUUCGUCAUACCGCAUCAGUUCAUCAAGAACAUCUGCAAGCCGUUGGUGGGUCAGCUCAAGCCCACCGCUGUCGGCAUCUCGCUUAUUAAGGGUUUUGACAUAGCAGAAGGUGGUGGUAUUGCCCUCAUCUCUAAAAUCAUCUGUGAUUUCGUCAAUGUUCCCAUGUCUGUACUUAUGGGAGCCAACCUCGCUGGAGAAGUAGCUGAUGAAAAGUUCUGUGAAACUACCAUAGGUUGCCGUGAUGCCACAAUAGGUCGUAUGUACAGAGACCUCAUCCAGACAGAUUACUUCAGAGUUGUCGUUGUUGAUGACGUUGAGGCUGUUGAAGUGUGUGGUGCUCUGAAGAAUAUUGUUGCCACUGGUGCUGGAUUUAUUGAUGGUCUCGGCUUCGGGGACAACACCAAGGCAGCUGUGAUCAGAUUAGGCCUUAUGGAAAUGAUCAAAUUUUGUGAAGUAUUUUACCCUGGUUCCAAACUAGGCACAUUCUUUGAAAGUUGUGGCGUUGCUGAUCUUAUCACAACUUGCUAUGGUGGCAGGAACAGGAGAGUUGCAGAGGCUUUUGUUAAGACUGGAAAGACAAUUGAGGAGCUGGAGAAGGAGAUGCUGAAUGGCCAGAAGCUACAGGGACCACAGACUGCUGAAGAAGUGAAUUACAUGCUCAAGAACAAGGCGAUGGAAGAUCGGUUUCCACUCUUCACCUCCAUACAUCGCAUCUGCAAGGGCGAGAUUCCCGCAGCUGAGAUGGUAGACUGCAUCAGGAACCAUCCGGAACACAUGGAACCAAACUGCUUUAAAAUCUCGAAUCCUCCUGGAAUGGAGAGUUAAGAGGAAAGGCCUCUUUGGGGAACCACUUCUGGAAUCAAAAUAAAAAAUAUAUGUUGUGAUCUUCAAACAAGUGAGCAGUGGGUGUACAUUCGACAAGGAACACACCAGUGUCACAGGCAACCAUGACUGAUAAAGACAGGACUGAGCAAAGGCAUUGUCAUCCAUACCAGUUCUGCUCUAUUACAUCACCAGUCUUCCUGAGAACAUGAAGCACAUUCGUGAAGUGGAAAAAUUCGGAUGAGAUCCCUUCUUUUAUAUUCUUUUCUUUUCUUUUUUGACAAAAGUGAUUAGCAGCAGAUAAAUUUAAAAUGUUAUGCAUAUUGUGAGCAUGUUUUAUUGCAGAAAUAUGGAGGAAAGCUUCUCUUUCCAUGAAACAUCAGUUACAAUAUGCAAUAUUGAUUGAUUUAUUGCAUGUUGCACCUUUAUUCAGUAUUUCAACUAGCAUUAUUUUGGUUAUGUUUAGAUUUAUAUCCUUUAGAUAUAAAACAUAUGAGACCUUUUUGGGAUGAGUUGAAUAGCAUUAAUUGUUAUGACUAGUAUUGAAUUGUGUUCAAAAGAUUUUUAAAAUAAUAGAUGAGAUAGUGUUCAUUGUAUGACGAAUCUUCAGAGCAUUUUGUUAUUUGUAAGACUAGUUCUGAAAACCAUGCAUUAUCAGGAUAAUAUUUCUUUCUCGAUACACUGAAUACUCAGUUACCAUUAUUGCUUUGUUUUCACAUACUUAUUAUGCUCAACUAUUUUUAGUAAUACCUGUUCAAACCCACCCUUUUGGUGCUACAAGCCUCAUUUUGACUAAAAAACAAAAUGAAACUAAGUUACCAAUAAAUUUAAGUGCGACAAGCUGAAAUAUCCAGAUCCAGUGCAGAUAUUAAAGUCCAUAGAUUCCUGCUUUAAUACAUGGAUGCAAUCUUAGUACCAUGUUAGCUUCAUGGUAAGAUAACUCUCCUUUGGUAUCCUGACCAUCUGUUUUGAGCAGCUUUAGCUAUGAGUAGCAGAUGCAGCAGAAGAAAUCUUGCACUUUACAAAUCUUUCUUGUUUACUCGCGAUAUAUAGACCCUCAAGGGGCUUUUUAUCAUCUGGCAAUUUAAUGGUCUGUAAUUAACAUUUGAAAGUUUCAGAUUACCACUAUCGGUAACGAUUGCAGCUUAGAUUUUGUACAUUAAUAGUUAUGUCAUGAUUACCGAAGUCUACCUAUUGUUGUGCCAUUAUUACCUAUAUUUUGAAAUUAGAUUGUAUGAGGUGAAUAUCAUAGGAUUUGCAUGAGUGAAAGGAAAACAAGUCUGAAUGCAUAAUAGUUAUAUAUAUAUCCUAUUUCAUUUCCUUACAUUAUUAUAUUUUAUUUUUUCUAUCCUGUUUCUCUUUUGAUGUAAGUCAGAGGUUGUGCAAUUUUUAAAUGUACAGUACCCUUGUUUGUGUUCUUCAUUUUGUCUGGAAAAUUGUUGAGCAUUUUUAUCUUUUAGAUUAUUAUAAAUUACCUUAGUUUAUGAAGACACAAAUCUCUGUAAAAGAAAGAAAUAGAUGUAAUAAUAGCAGUUUGAGAUUAAAUUAGAGGACUAUAUAAACAUUGUUAGAAAUUCAUCCUUUUGGAAAGGUUAACCUAAAGAGAAAAAAUAUUUUUAUCUGUUGUUUUUACAACAUUUGUGUAAUGUGGUGCACUAUUGUAAAAUACAAAAAAAAUCAGGAACUGAGAUAAAUUAAGAAAUAAAUGGUGAAUUGAAA